UACGUAGGGGGCAAGCGUUGUCCGGAAUCAUUGGGCGUAAAGAGCGUGUAGGCGGCCCGGUAAGUCCGCUGUGAAAGUCCAGGGCUCAACCCUGGGAUGCCGGUGGAUACUGUCGGGCUCGAGUCCGGAAGAGGCGAGUGGAAUUCCUGGUGUAGCGGUGAAAUGCGCAGAUAUCAGGAGGAACACCAAUGGCGAAGGCAGCUCGCUGGAACGGUACUGACGCUGAGGCGCGAAAGCGUGGGGAGCAAACAGG
rnacentral:rRNA from 1 species